ensembl:lincRNA
AUGAUUCUCUUGCCUCGGCCUAUUAAGUGCUGGAAUUACAGUUCUGCACCGCUGUGUCCAGCUGGAAACCAGUUCUCUAAAGGGACUUCCUCUUGUGGCUUUGCCUCUCUACAGUUUAUUUUCACAGUAGCAUUGAGGAUAAUUCUUCAACUCAGGCCCCGCGUCCAGCAGCCAAACUGUCUACCUGGUCUGUGCGGCAUUCAAGUGCUGACACUGCCACGCCGGGUGUGCCCUACCUCAGAGGUGUCAGUGGAUAUUCCAGGUGCCUUGAAGCGUUCCUCCCUGGGUGGCUGGGCGCUCUCUCCUACACUCUGUCAUGUCAUCACUCAAUGGCACCUGUUACUGAGACCUGGCCAGACCACCCCCACCCGGCACCCUCUGUACUUUGCUUUGUUAUUCUUUCAGUGUGUAUCAUCCCCCACGGUACCACGGAUUUACUAGAUGCUUCAUUUUGUCUCUGCACUAGGAACUGAGUCCCAGAGAAAGAGGGUUUCUGUAUUUUUGUCACUGCGCUAUUGUCAGUGCCUGCUUCAGCACCUAGCGGAGAGCAGGUGCUCAAUGAAUAUUUGUUGAAAAUGAAUGAAUCAGUAAGUGAGUAAACACAUGCUUGGGUCCACAGACUUACAUGUAACAAGAAAGAAGAUAAUGCAUCAGUUCAUAAUUAAAUAGAAGCAGUUUUCAUGAAAAUGAUAUUUUGGGCCACAAGUAACUCUUAUAAGAAAGGCUUUAUUUUCUCUGGUGGUUAGGGGAGGAAUGUAAUUAUUGAGGACUCAACAGAGAAGAAAAAGGCACUGGCAAAUAUGGUUUGUUUAAUCUAAACCAGGCAGCAGGAUGACAUCUGCAAAUGUUGCUAAAGGAUUGUUGUUACGUUAUGAAAGAAAUAAAGAUCAUCAAAGAUUGGGGUCACUGAGAAGGGGGAUUUUGAAGAUGAUGGUGUGGCUAGUUCACCACUUCACACUAAUUCACACACAAUUCACACUAAUUCACCACCAUGUCCACAUUGGGACGGUAUGCUUUGACUCUUGAAUGGAACAAGAGAAAAAAAUCACUUAUUUUCUUUUUCAACUGGAUAACAUCAAUCAAAAAGCAGAAUUUCCUUACUUCCAAGAACAGCUUUAAGAAACAAUUCACAUGCUGUAAAAUUCACCUUUAUAAAGUGUCCAAUUCAGUGGUUUUCAGUAUAUUCAGAGUUGUGCACCUGUUACCACUAUCAAAUUUUAUAACAACUUCACCAUUUCAAUGAGGAAUUCUAUCUCCAUGCAAUGUUUCCUGAACCCCCACCCCUGGCAAACACUAAUAAACUUCCUAUCUGUGUGGGUUUGCCUGCUGUGAAUAUGCUAAAUGAAUGGAAUCCUACUCUACAUGUGUGUACUAUAUAUCACACUUAUACAUGUCACACAUAUUGCAUGAGGCUUUUUCCACUUAACAUGAAGUUUUCUAGGUUCAUUUAUGUUAUGACAUUGAUCAGUACUUCAUUCUUUAUCUUAAAGCCUCCAAGGCAUGGACACACACCAUUCUUUUAUGCUUUCUUUUUUUAGCUAUUACAUAUGAAUAAUGCUUCCUGGACAUUCAUGUGUUGCAUUCUUGUAUGACUCUGUUUUUAUUUUCCCAGACUCUUCUUGCUUUGUACUCUGGAUAUAAAUCUAGUCAUGAGAUCAUGGAGUCAUAUUAUAACCCUGUGUCUAACAUUUUGAAGGACUGCCAAAUAUUUCCAGGAUCGCUGAACAAUUUUACAGCCCCACCAGCAACAUAUGAGAGUUCUGAUUUCUCUAUCUCCUUUCCGAUAUUUGUUACUGUCUGCUCUUUUAGCUACAGCCAUCCAAGCAGGGGUAAAAUGGCAUCUCACUGAGGUUUUCAUUUCCAUUUUGCUGGUUGUAAGUGAUGCUGGGUAUAACUUACAUAUGAUAUUGGCCACUUGGAUUUCCUUGCUGGAUAAAUGUCCUAUUUAAAUACUUUUAAAGAAAAUAUUAGGUUAUUUGACCUUUUUAUUGUUGACUUGUAAGAGUUCUAUAUAUAAUCUGGAAACAAGUAUCUUAUCAGAAAUUUGAUUAACAAACAUUUUCUACUAUUCUGUGGAUUGUGAAAAAGGCUUUUCACUUUUUAAAUAGUGUUUUUGGAAGCAAAACCAGAAAGAUUUUAAUUUUAAUGAAGUCUAUUUCACUUACCAUCUCUUGGUUAUUUGUGCCUUUGUUGCCUUAAGAAACCAUUGACUAAUCUGAUGUCAAAAAUAUUUAGUCCUAUGUUGUAUUACACACUUUUUAUUCUUUUAGCUCUUACUUUUAGGUAUAAGAUUCAUCUUGAGUUAACUUUUGCCUAUGGUAUGAAUUAGGAGUCCAGUUCCAUUCUUUCCCAUGUGGCUUAGCACUGUUUUUUGAAAAAACUGCUCCAUUCCCCAUUGAAUUGUCUUGGCUCCUGGGUGAAAAAUAGAUCAGUCAUUCUCAUGUGAGCUUAUUUCUGGGUUUUCAAAGCUAUCACAUGGAUCUAACUCUAUACCAAUAAAAUACUACUGUUUUUUAGUAGAUCUUUGAACUGAAAAGGGAAAGUCCUCCCCCUUUGUUCUUCUUUUUCAAGUUCAUUUUGGCUAUUCUUGGUCCCUUGAAUUUCAUAUUAAUUUUAGGACCACUUUUUUUUAAAAAAAGGCAAUUGGGACAUGAUAAGGA